rnacentral:lncRNA from 1 species
UGUGAAACCAAGAAAGCAGACAGGCAGCUUUCUCAGCAAGGUGGGUGAACGAAAAAAAGCAGGGGGAGACUUUACUGGAGUUUAAUACUUGACACUCAAAGCAGACUGGGAACUCAAGAGGUUGUAUAUAAUAAAUUAAGGAAGAAAUCUCCAGCACCACAGCCACUACUGUAGCUAGAGGUGCCAGCCAAAGUGGUCCUUUCAUGAGCACAGUGGAGAGAUAAGGGAACUAAUGGAACCACAUCUUUAGGAGGACUUAGGCAAGUCUGGGUACAGAGUUUGAGAUCAAAGACACUGCCCAACUAAACUGAAGGGCACGCUACACAAUAGCCUUGCACAGGAAAGAAACCACAUCUCUCCUGGUGGGGUGCAGAGGACAGAAGGAGGAACCAUUUUACAGUUGCGAUGCUGGGACCAGCAGUUGAGGGAGCCAAGUCCUAGCAAAUCAAGGCUGGCCCAAAAUAUAGCCUGGCAAACCCACAUUGCACAACAGAGUGUGCCUAAGUGACCAGGAGAAAAUCAAACAUGAAAAGAGGUUUACACAGGGGACUACUGGUUAUGGAAACCUACCCAGCUCUAUCCCUCCCUCUCUAAUCCGACUGCUUGCAGGACUGGCUGGGAGAGAUGCACCUGGCCAGGAAUUUGAAAGGGCAGGAGAGACUGAGUUUGGAGACUGAAUCUGAGACCAGGAAACUUGACGUCCAAAGGUGGAAUCACGCAAGUGGAACCCAGGGUAGAUCCUGGAGUGCAGUCUAAUAGUGUGGACAGUCUAUUCCUGGGCCCUGAGGGUGUGCUGAUUUAGAAUCUCCUGACCCAUUGACAUUCGGCAAAGAGCCUGGAGCCUACCUAAACCUAAACCCUGCCUCCAAGAGUUCCGCAUACGGGAUUACCUCUCACUCCAGUGCCCUAACAGGAGCUGCGUGUAUGAGUGCAGGAAGGGGCAAGCAUCAUACUUCAGACACCCCACCUAAAACUUUUGAGAAGGGAAGCUGAGAAUAUUUUAGAUUCCAACAG